GACGAACGCUGGCGGCGUGCCUAAUACAUGCAAGUAGGACGCAGUUUCGAACGGGUGAGUAACGCGUAUGUAACUACCUCUUAGAGGGGGAUAACUAAUGUAAACGAUAGCUCAUACCGCAUACUAGUUGAUGGACCUGCGUUGUAUUAGGUAGUAGGGAGGGUAAUGGCGUACCUAGGCAACGGUAGAUCGCCGACCUUGAGAGGUGGACGGUGACAAUGGGACUGGGAACCGGUCCCGGAUCCUGACGGAGGGAGGAGGAGGGGAACUGCGGCAAUGGGGGGAAGCCUGAACGAGGAAAGGCGCGUGAGUGAAGAAGGUUUUCGGAACGUAAAGAUCUGUUGGUAAGGAAGCGGUACUUAAACAGAAAGGGACGGCUAACUACGUGCCAGCAGCCGCGGUAAUAC
rnacentral:rRNA from 1 species